GGGCUUGUAGCUCAGCUGGGAGAGCGCCGCGUUCGCAACGCGGAGGUCGAGGGUUCGAACCCCUUCAGGUCCACCA
rnacentral:tRNA from 1 species